rnacentral:rRNA from 1 species
GAUGAACGCUGGCGGCGUGCCUAAUACAUGCAAGUCGAGCGAAUGGAUUAAGAGCUUGCUCUUAUGAAGUUAGCGGCGGACGGGUGAGUAACACGUGGGUAACCUGCCCAUAAGACUGGGAUAACUCCGGGAAACCGGGGCUAAUACCGGAUAACAUUUUGAACCGCAUGGUUCGAAAUUGAAAGGCGGCUUCGGCUGUCACUUAUGGAUGGACCCGCGUCGCAUUAGCUAGUUGGUGAGGUAACGGCUCACCAAGGCAACGAUGCGUAGCCGAGCUGAGAGGGUGGUCGGCCCCACUGGGACUGAGACACGGCCCAGACUCCGACGGGAGGAAGCAGUAGGGAAUCUUCCGCAAUGGACGAAAGUCUGACGGAGCAACGCCGCGUGAGUGAUGAAGGCUUUCGGGUCGUAAAACUCUGUCGUUAGGGAAGAACAAGUGCUAGUUGAAUAAGCUGGCACCUUGACGGUACCUAACCAGAAAGCCACGGCUAACUACGUGCCAGCAGCCGCCGUAA